rnacentral:rRNA from 1 species
GAGUUUGAUUCUGGCUCAGAUGAACGCUAGCGGUGUGCCUAAUGCAUGCAAGUCGAACGAUAACCUUUGGACUCGUCUGAACGGAACAGUGGCGGACGGGUGAGUAACACGUACGUGACCUGCCCCAGAGAGGGGGACAACCAUUGGAAACGAUGACUAAUACCCCGGAUGUUACACUUUUUACAAUGAUGUGACUAAAGCUCCGGCACUCUGGGAGGGGCCUGCCGCCCAUCAGCUUGUUGGUAGGGUAACGGCCUACCAAGGCAAAAACAUGGUAGGGGGCGUGAGAGCGUGACCCCCCACACUGGUACUGAGACACGGACAACAUACCUGCGGGUAACGCCACCAAGGAGUAUUGCGCACUGUGCGAAAGCUUGACACACCACCACCCCGUGUAGGAUAAGUGUGUUCGGAUUGUAGACUCCUGUUCUGAUUAAAGAGAAAAGACUGUACUUCAUGACUAAGUCUCGGCUCACUACGUGCCAGCACCCGCGGUAUAACGUGCCGACGCACGCGUUAUCCACGAAUUACUGCGGCGUAUAUCGCGUGUACGUGGAUGCUUAAGUCUGCACGUGAAAGCUCCUGGCUCAACUAGUGAGAGGCCCG